UGACAAACCUUAAUUCCUAUCUUUAAUGC
rnacentral:piRNA from 1 species